rnacentral:misc_RNA from 1 species
GAUGAAGAACGUAGCGAAAUGCGAUAAGUAGUGUGAAUUGCAGAAUUCAGUGAAUCAUCGAAUCUUUGAACGCACAUUGCGCCCCUUGGUAUUCCAUGGGGCAUGCCUGUUCGAGCGUCAUUUGUACCUUCAAGCUUUGCUUGGUGUUGGGUGUUUGUCCAUUCUCUUGCAGAGGGACUCGCCUUAAAGUAAUUGGCAGCCAGUGUUUUGGUUUUGAAGCGCAGCACAAGUCGCGAUUUAAAGCUAUACGCCCGCUUCCACAAGCCUUCUUCACUUUUGACCUCGGAUCAGGUAGGGAUACCCGCUGAACUUAAGCAUAUCAAUAAGCGGAGGA